UUCAUUUUACUUCGUGUAGAAAUUACCCAGUGUACCGUACUGUGCUCCCACAUGUUCAUUCUUCCCAUUCUCCCAUGACCGUUUUCGCAUGACCGUUUUCCCAUGGACAUCCUUUCAGGCCGUUCUUUCAUCGCCUUCUUCCUAGAUCAACUUUUCAGGAUCACCAUAAGAGAGCGAACAAAGUUGGACGAUGGACGACCACCGUUUGAUCAUCAAAACAACUUGGAUGGAGUACUUUAAUUAUUUACGUGUAGUGAAAAAUUCCUAUGACCUUGGACCAGAACGAAGUGGAUAAUAAUGGACGCGACAAGAAAAAGGGAAAUGAAGUGGAUGAAGGAAAAACAAAACAACAAACAGAAAAAUGCGAUUUGUGGGUUACAGUUGUGAAGUGAUUGAGGAUGUCAGCGUCAAUUUGGAUACGUGUCCCUGUCCCAUCGUUGCGCCUCAUAAAAAGCAUAUAAUCGUAAACGACACGUUGCUUUUCACCAUUAAUGUAUUUCAAUUACUUUGAUCAAAGUUAUGUUCUAUUGCCUGCAAUUUCAACGGACCAUCUUUGAAAGGAAGGAAGAGUAAUGAAAUAAGCAUCCUUAGCACAAAAGUUAAGGUUAUUGUCUUAUUCAACUAACA